ACUCAUCUCCACCUUCUUCCCCUCGGUAAUCUUCUUUAAUGGCAACUUCACUAGAAAAACCAGCAAGAAGAGAAAGGAGACAACUGGUGUUACUACUGAUUUCAAUAAAACGGGAUGGAAUGAUUAAAUAAGUAGACGAAAUGAUCUUGGGUUGAUGAAGUAGGAUUUGUAUCGUUGUUAUCAGUAGUUUUUAUAUAACAAUUAGGGUUCUUGGAUGAGAACGAUGAAAUUGAAGCAGUAAUCAAAGGGGUUUUCGUCCAGCAAAUUGAAUCUCUGUUACAGAUACCAAACGUGACUUUAAUCAUGAAAUGUGGGAACCAGGUCGAAUAGCUCUAUUCUCUAACUCAUUCUCUAAUGGGGUUAGACUUCGUCUUCACAUCACAUCUGACUUUUUAAGAUCUCUAUUAUAAAUUAAGCUUUGUCGUUGUAUGUGAAAGUGUAAAUCCUAAUGAAGGAAUUUUGAUUUUAAUUUUGGUAAAUGAUGAAAUUGUAAUUGCAUCCGUGUACAAUUUUUAGGAUUCGUAUAGGUGGGUUAUGAUGGGAUUGCAUCCUAUGUGACCUUGCUGAUAGGAUUGCUUAUAUAUAGUUCCAAUUUUAAUUUUAAGUUGGAUUGGUAAUUUUUGAUUAAAAGAAUUUAGAAGGGGUUGAAGCUUAUGUA